UUCUUGAUAUUACUGUCAAUAAUUAAAUGGUCACAAUUGCAUGAGUUUACUCCUGGAUCUUCUAUGGUGUCCCGUUGCUCUGUCCACAUGUCUGGUUUUGUUCCAGCACUAUGCCGAUUUUGUCACGAUGGUUUUAUAGUGUAGUUUGAGGCAGGAAACGGAAGGAGCUGACUAAAGAUUCGCUAAAACUGAAGUUGAAGCAGUGCUGAGACUAUAAUUAUGAAAAAGCUGGAGUUUUCUCCCUGGAAGGUUGCAGGGAUAGUGUUUCCCCAGACUUCAGAUGGGAGUUCCCCUGAUGGCCUCAUGAACUAAAAAGGAGUGGGAACAAAGGAGGACUUCAACUUCACCCGCUUCUACAAUAUUCCCUUUGAAAUCAACGGGAAUUGUCAGUCUGAAGAUUCAGCAUAGAAGUGAACUGCUCCUACUGAUCCAGCCAGUCCUCGAAGGACAGCAAUGGCAGAAGCCCACGAUUAGUUAGUUGUUCAUAAAAACAUCACUGCAGCAGCUGAGGACCAGGCCUCAAGAGCGAAGAGUGUUGCAGAGUGUGUUUCUGGUAACUGAAGCAAAGAGGAUGAGAAGUUCAGACUGUUUGGGCAGAAUAAUCAUGAAGCACAGUGUCUCCUGCUCAGCACACCCGUCACUGUCAUCCACACCAAUCUGGUCCAGCCUGACAAUGGCUGUGCCUAGAAGUACAGACAGCCUGGCUCUCUGCUCCUCCUCCAGCGGUAUGGCGUCUGUAUGGCAACCACAGAAACGAGACCUGCACUAAGGUCAACCUUGCAGCCAUUCUCUAAAUCCCCGACUCUCACCAGACACUGGGGGCAAAAGCUUUGCCCCUUUUUCUAAAGCACCAAGUGCAGCGUCUCAACAAACAUGGGUAUUUUCUUUGCAGAAACUGGGCGGGGGUCGUCAGGCACCCUGGAAGUCUUGAAUGGAAAUGCAAUCUUGCUUCAAAAAUAAUCACUGCAUUUUUUUUAAUUCUUCCUACAAAAACAAAAAAAAAAAUUCUUAUCUACAGUAAGAUAAUUUGAAAAGUUACAGGGGUUAAUGUUUUA